rnacentral:rRNA from 1 species
UUUUAGUAACGUAGCUAACGCGUGAAGUUGACCGCCUGGGGAGUACGGCCGCAAGGCUAAAACUCAAAGGAAUUGACGGGGACCCGCACAAGCGGUGGAUGAUGUGGAUUAAUUCGAUGCAACGCGAAAAACCUUACCUACCCUUGACAUGUCAGAGAUCCCUGAGAGAUUGGGGAGUGCCGCAAGGAAUCUGAACACAGGUGCUGCAUGGCUGUCGUCAGCUCGUGUCGUGAGAUGUUGGGUUAAGUCCCGCAACGAGCGCAACCCUUGUCGUUAAUUGCCAUCAUUUGGUUGGGCACUUUAACGAGACUGCCGGUGACAAACCGGAGGAAGGUGGGGAUGACGUCAAGUCCUCAUGGCCCUUAUGGGUAGGGCUUCACACGUCAUACAAUGGUCGGUACAGAGGGUUGCGAAGCCGCGAGGUGGAGCCAAUCCCAGAAAGCCGAUCGUAGUCCGGAUUGGAGGCUGCAACUCGCCUCCAUGAAGUCGGAAUCGCUAGUAAUCGCGGAUCAGCAUGUCGCGGUGAAUACGUUCCCGGGUCUUGUACACACCGCCCGUCACACCAUGGGAGUGGGUUCUGCCAGAAGUAGGUAGCUUAACCGCAAGGAGGGCGCUUACCACGGCAGGGUUCAUGACUGGGGUGAAGUCG